ensembl:lncRNA
GGAAGGUGUAGUGGUGGAAGAAGUGGGAGGAGAGGACAAAACCCUCCCCACCCCAAUCCCCCUGCCCCAGACUAAUGUGACCCCUGAAGGAGAAAGGGCCGAGAAAGACGGCUCCGGAGAGAUGUUCAGCGAAAGCUCCCCAAGUGGGUCAGAUAUUAUAGGGUCGGUGUCGGAAAGCACCAUGGAGACUGUGUCAGAAGGUACGGGAGAGGAGGGGGAGAUUCUGAAGGAACACCUCCCCCUACGUAAAAGAAACGCUGAAGAGCUCUCUGACCCCGAACAGGGAAAUGGGAGGAUAAGUGGCAGCACGGGCCCUCCAUUUGGAGUGGUUCCAAUUUUAACAAGAACGACGGUGUUGCCAUUUUAAUCAAGACCCCACAGGUGGUGGUGAAGGGGAGCACGGUGGUGGAUCGGGAACCAGUAUGUCCAGUGCGCGGGCUCGCUAUAGGUGAGCCCACAACGGUUUGGCGCAACGUGGCCCACCCUGCUCUCCUGAAUCGGCAUCGGGACCUGUCCUGGAUGGUCGCCCACGAGAUCCUCCCGGUCAGGGCCGUUAUGCACUCACGGGGCAUGGCGAGGACAUCCGCGUGCCCCCGACCAGGCUGCGGCCAAGAAGAGUCGGUGAGGCACAUGCUCUGGGAGUGCAGAGCCGC